GUAGGAUAAGCUAAGCACACUGUUGGUUAUGUGUGCCCAAGCAUUGAGGCAGUCAAAGUAGGCAAAUCCGCUUUGAUAAUGCUGGGAUGUGAUGGGGAGCGAAAUUUAGUAGCGAAGUAGCUGAUUUCACACUGUCAAGAAAAGUCUCUAUCGAGGUUAAAGGUACCCGUACCGCAAACCGACACAGGUGGGUGAGGAGAGUAUCCUAAGGCCAGCGAGAGAACUGUUGUUAAGGAACUCGGCAAAAUGACCCCGUAACUUAGGGAUAAGGGGUGCCACCAUCAGGUGGCCGCAGAGAAUAGGCCCAAGCGACUGUUUACCAAAAACAUAGGUUUCUGCUAAGUCGCAAGACGAUGUAUAGGAGCUGACGCCUGCCCGGUGCUGGAAGGUUAAGGGGAUCUGUUAGAGCAAUCGAAGCAGUGAACUUAAGCCCCAGUAAACGGCGGCCGUAACUAUAACGGUCCUAAGGUAGCGAAAUUCCUUGUCGGGUAAGUUCCGACCCGCACGAAAGGCGUAACGAUUUGGGCACUGUCUCAACAACAGACUCGGUGAAAUUGUAAUUCCGGUGAAGAUGCCGGAUACCUGCGACAGGACGGAAAGACCCCAUGGAGCUUUACUGUAGCUUGACAUUGGGUCUUGGUACUACAUGUACAGGAUAGGUGGGAGGCUUUGAAACCAGGACGCCAGUUUUGGCGGAGCCAUCCUUGGGAUACCACCCUUGUAGUACUGGGACUCUAACCAUAGGCCAUGAAUCUGGUCUUGGGACACUGUCAGGUGGGCAGUUUGACUGGGGCGGUCGCCUCCCAAAAGGUAACGGAGGCGCUCAAAGGUUCUCUCAGUACGGUCGGAAAUCGUACGUAGAGUGUAAAGGCAAAAGAGAGCUUGAUUGCAAGACAUACAGGUCGAGCAAGGAUGAAAAUCGGACUUAGUGAUCCGGUGGUUCUGCGUGGAAGGGCCAUCGCUCAACGGAUAAAAGCUACCCUGGGGAUAACAGGCUUAUCUCCCCCAAGAGUCCACAUCGACGGGGAGGUUUGGCACCUCGAUGUCGGCUCAUCACAUCCUGGGGCUGUAGUAGGUCCCAAGGGUUGGGCUGUUCGCCCAUUAAAGUGGUACGCGAGCUGGGUUCAGAACGUCGUGAGACAGUUCGGUCCCUAUCCGUCGCAGGCGUAGGAAAUUUGAGAAGACCUGUCCUUAGUACGAGAGGACCGGGAUGGACGUACCUCUGGUGUACCAGUUGUCC
rnacentral:rRNA from 1 species